UGGUGCCUACGGGGGGCAGCAGUGGGGAAUAUUGCGCAAUGGGGGCAACCCUGACGCAGCAACGCCGCGUGAUUGAAGAAGGCCUUCGGGUUGUAAAGAUCUUUAAUCGGGGACGAAUUUUGACGGUACCCGAAGAAUAAGCUCCGGCUAACUACGUGCCAGCAGCCGCGGUAAUACGUAGGGAGCAAGCGUUAUCCGGAUUCAUUGGGUUUAAAGGGAGCGCAGGCGGCAUGGCAAGUCUGAUGUGAAAACCCGGGGCCCAACCCCGGGAGUGCAUUGGAAACUGCCAGGCUGGAGGGUCGGAG
rnacentral:rRNA from 1 species